rfam:Candidatus Kuenenbacteria bacterium CG1_02_38_13 cg1_0.2_scaffold_13258_c, whole genome shotgun sequence.
GCGGGUAUCGUAUAACGGCUAUUAUCUCAGGUUUCCAACCUGAUGAUGGGGGUUCGAUCCCCCCUACCCGCU